UCUCUCUCUCGCUCGCUCUCUCUCUCUCACACAUACAAACACAAUUUCAAAUGCAGCCUCACAUCACCUCUAGAAACCGAUACCAUUUUCAGCUGGUGUUUUUAUAAGUCUACACAUUUUAUUUUGUUUAUUUCUUUCCAAGCCCAUGUUUGUUUUAAAUGUUCCUGUGUGUUUCUGGCUUCCUCUAGUAAAGUGGGCGAUUGUGUACUUAAUUCCAUAUACUCCUGUGCUGCUGAUCCAUAUCCUGGUCUGUGAGCGAGCAUCAGUACCCCCGAGACGGCUGCUCCUUCCUCCCUCAGCUGUCCCACUUUGCUGCUCCGUGAUACAACAUGGCAGUUUACGUUACCAUCUCAAUGUAAAUCUCUUUCAUACACAAAGACAACAAGCCAAUACGAGAGGAGGGGGACAUUUCUUUGCUCCCCCUGACUGCAGAAAUUCAAACAGCAUUAAACACAGGUCUGGAUGCCCUACUCUAGUAGGGCUGUAUAGUGAGACAUCUGUAGAAAGAGUGUGUGUGUGGUGUGGUGUGUGUGUGUGUGUGUGCUCUAACAAAGCAAUGGUCAAUGGAAUUCGGCCUCAGAAAUGAUGGAAGCAGCAAAUGAUUAGACCAUCUUCCAGAUGUUCAAGCAACAGGUUUAACUACUCUACUGGGUACGACCAUGAAGGAGGUCCUACGUGUUCUCCACCGCCUCGACACCACCAGCGAGGUUCUCCAUACCGCUGACGGAGUGCCUCCUACCAUGUGUCGUCACAGUGAGUCAGUCCCCCAGCCGUCCGCCCAGGUCAGCGAUGCCCGACUUUCCCUUCCGAGAAGGAUGACGGUACUCUAUCGAAAUGCCAUGGCUUCCUACUCCAGUGCUCCCUUUAUUUCACCUAUCAGACGGGAGCCCCCACCCCCGAGAGGUCCAAGGUUGCCACGGUCAUUUCACUGCUGACUGGACAGGCGUUGGAGUGGGCUACGGCCGGCUGGGAGAGAGGAGAGGAUGAGUUGGGCUCCUAUGAGAGGUUCAUAGCGGUCUUCGACCAUCCUCUAGAGUGCAGAGGGAGCCCUGGAUACAUGACCAUUGGGAUCCGGCACAAUUACGCACAUCGCAGCACCCUCACCAUGGGACCCAUGCACCAGGAAAGCCUUCCCUUCCUCAUCAUCACCACACCCGUACAGUCAUCCUCGGCCUCCGUUGGCUCCAACGUCAUAACCCCACCAUCUCCUGGUCAAGGAUGAGAAUCACCGCCUGGGGACCAGGAUGCCGGAGGACCUGCUUUCCCACACCCUGUGGUUCCACGUCUGUGGAGGGUCCUGGGAGUGUCCUCCAGCCCAUCAAGCGUUCCUCCCAUAUUGUUGGUCCCAUGUUUUGGGACAUAGAUGUGGACAUCUGCCAGGCUCUGGAGAGAACCAGUUCCUGCCACCUGCCCUCCAGAGCGCAUCUACGUCCCCAAGGAGGUGAGAGAUUGGCUGUUGACCUGGGCACACACCCCUUGCCGCUGGACACACAUCCCUUGCCGCUGAACACCCAAGUAUCACCCGCACCAUCCAAUUCCUCUCCGAAAAAUACUGGUGGCCCACCUUGGCGAAGGACGUCGCCCACUAUGUCAACUCAUGUUCGGUAUGUACUCAAUCCAAAUCUUACCGGCACACUCCAGCAGGUAAACUACUUCACCUUCCAUCAGCGCCCUUGGUCACAUCUGUCCAUAGAAUUUGUUAUGGAUCUCCCCAUUUCUGAUGGUUUUACCACUAUUCUGGUUGUUGUUGUUUUAUCCUUCUCUCUGGUCUACCUACCACUCUCCAAGUCGCUGAGGCACUAUUCCAGCAGGUCUUCCGACACACGUCGCGGGUCUGGAAAGCCUUUAUGGAGAAGCUGGGGACCACGGUCAGCCUCACAUCUGGGUACUGGCCUCAGUCUAACGGGCAGGUGGAGAAGACCAACCAGGAGCUGGAGAGGUUCGUAAGGAGUCACUGCCAGGACUGGCAAGGGGAGUGGGCCCGGUUCCUUCCCUCGGCGGAAUUUGCCCAGAACUCACUCCUCCACCAGGCUGACUCCCUUCCAGUGUGUCCUGGGAUAUCAGCUGGCCCCUGCUCUGUGGACUCCGAGCCAGACUGAGGCCCCUGCAGAUUACGAAUGGUUCCGGCGCGCCGUCAGAAGGAUCGGGUGGACCACCACUGCAGUGAGGCUCCCGUGUUUCAUCCUGGUGCUCACGUCUGACUCUCCAUCAGGAACCUCUGUCUGCUCUGCUGGAAGCUGAGCCCCCGGUUUGUGGGGCCUCUCAAAGUCCUCCUGAGGGCCAAUGGCAUCACCUAUAGAUUACAGCUCCCCACUAAUUACCAGAUCUCACCGUCUUUUCAUGUUUCCCUCCUCAGGCCGGUGGUUCCUGGUCCCCUAGCUGAAACUGUCCCCCACGACACCCCUCCAUCUCCCCUGGACAUCGAGGGACGCCCCGCCUAUGCCGUCAGAUCCCUCUUGGACUCCCGACGUCGUGGGGGUCGGCUCCAGUACCAGAUAGACUGGGAGGGGUAUGGUCCAGAGGUGCAGUGUUGGGUUCCGGUGGAUGACAUUCUAGAACCCAACAUCAUCCGAGAUUUCCAUCUUCGCCAUCCGGACCAGCUGUAGUCAU